GGGCCUUUGAAUACCUGCGGGGUGAUGAGAUGGGGUCCCUUUAGCGGUGGCAGCCCAAGGGGCUGUAGAGAUGGCGCAGAAAGAGCAGGAACUCGGAGACUGUGGUGUCGAGAGAGAAAAUGUCUUUCUAAGACUUGUUCGAAGUACACAAAAAUAUUGGGCUUAAAGAGACUCUUUAGAACGGAGAGAGUUGAAAGUAAAGGGGAAUUUUUGAGGCAAGCGAAGUCAAUGAGGUGAAUGGUAACUGGUCACAAAAUUUUUGUUCUAAAGCAUCUGAAAUCUCAAAAAAGUUCUUGGGAGAGAAGGAUUUUGGAAAGGGGGGAUAAACUCUUUGGUUUAGAGGAGGUAUCCAAACACCUUCCAGCUGGUGGGGUGUCACAGGAUUGAUGUCCAGGCGAGGGACAUUAAUUUUCUAACCAAAAAGAGUGGAAACAUUUUACCUCUUUUCCUGCUUUCAAAAACCUGUUACUGCAAAGACCUCGGAUUUGUGGGUCAAUGGAUUUGGGUACUAUAUUCUUCUUACCGUAUCUUUUUUUCUUGCUUUCUUCAGAGUGUGAACAUGGCUACGCCUCUUCAUUCCCGUCCAUGCCGAGCCCCCGACUGCAGCAUUCAAAGCCCCCACGGAGGUUGAGCCGGGCACAGAAACACAGCAGCGGGAGCAGCAACACCAGCACUGCCAACAGAUCUACACACAAUGAGCUGGAAAAGAAUCGCUUGAAGAAUUGGUUGGUUGGGAGAAGGGAUACCAGAGGCAUAAAGAUGCUUUUGAAGGCUAUUGCAGUAAUCUAGACGAGCUCAUCUGCGCCUUUGUUUAGAACGCUUAAAAGUUCUGAUUCCACUAGGACCAGACUGCACCCGGCACACAACACUUGGUUUGCUCAACAAAGCCAAAGCACACAUCAAGAAACUUGAAGAAGCUGAAAGAAAAAGCCAGCACCAGCUCGAGAAUUUGGAACGAGAACAGAGAUUUUUAAAGUGGCGACUGGAACAGCUGCAGGGUCCUCAGGAGAUGGAACGAAUACGAAUGGACAGCAUUGGAUCAACUAUUUCUUCAGAUCGUUCUGAUUCAGAGCGAGAGGAGAUUGAAGUGGAUGUUGAAAGCACAGAGUUCUCCCAUGGAGAAGUGGACAAUAUAAGUACCACCAGCAUCAGUGACAUUGAUGACCACAGCAGCCUGCCGAGUAUUGGGAGUGACGAGGGUUACUCCAGUGCCAGUGUCAAACUUUCAUUCACUUCAUAGAACCCAGCAUGACAUAACAGUGCAGGGCAAAAUAUUCACUGGGCCAAUUCAAUACAAACAAUCUCUUAAAUUGGGUUCAUGAUGCAGUCUCCUCUUUAAAACAAAACAAAACAAAACUAUACUUGAACAAAAGGGUCAGAGGACCUGUAUUUAAGCAAAUACUUAGCAAAAAGUGGGGCAGAGCCUCCCAAGGAGAACAAAUAUUCAGAAUAUUCAUAUUGGAAAAAUCACAAUUUUUAAUGGCAGCAGAAAACUUGUGUGAAAUUUUCUUGAUUUGAGUUGAUUGAGAAGAGGACACUGGAGAUGCCAUCCUCUUUCUCUUUUCUAGUUUGCUCAUACUACAUUGAGUAGACACAUUUAAGGAUGGGGUUAUGAACCCUUCCUGAGCUUUAUGGUCCUAAAAGCAAAAUAAAAACUAUUCGAAUGAAAAGACAAGAAAAUCAGGUAUUAAUCUUGGAUAGCUAAUAAUGAGCUAUUAAAACUCAGCCUGGGACAGUUUAUCAUGAAGCCUGUGGAUGAUCAAUCCUUUAUUAUUAUUAUUUUUUUUUGAAAAAAGCUCAUUUCACGCUCUGCAAAAGGAGAGACUCCCAUGAAGCCUUUUGAAAGGGAUCAUCAUGCAGCUCAACUUUCUGUUGGAUUCCAUGCUAAGCAAGCUAACCUUAUCCUGCAUUGUUAGCACUAGGCACCCAGCUGCCACCUCUCCAUCCUGCGGCCCUUAGGCCACAUGGGAGCAGUCCAUGCAUGACAGCCUCUAUCCUACAAGGCCUAUGAGUAUGGAUUGGGGGGCCAAAAGGAAAAAGCUCCACGUGCCUCUUUGUCUGCGUGGGUCAGAAGAGUUGUGCACGCAGAUUAGCAGGCCAAGGUCUGAGCCACAGCAGCAUUUUUAUUUCAGAUUUUGAUAACUGUUUAUAUGUGUUGAAAACCAAAAUGACAUCUUUUUAAAGCUUAUCCAUAAAAAAAAUAGAUGUCUUUUAUAGUGGAAAAACACAUGGGGAAAAAAAUCAUCUAUUUUGAUGCAGCAUUUGAUAAUGAUAAAACACCUCACACCUCACUCUUUAUAGUGCACAAAAUGAAUGAGGUCUGGGCUAGGUAGAAAAAGGGUCAAUGCUAUUUUUGUUUUUAGAAUCAUUACCUUUUACCAGCUUUUAACCAUCUGAUAUCUAUAGUAGACACACUAUCAUAGUUAACAUAGUUAAGUUCAGCACUUGUCUCAUUUUAAUGUAAAGAUUUGCUUCCAUUUUCCUACAGGCAGUCUCUCUCUUCCUCACAGUCCCACUGUGCAGGUGCUAUUGUUACUCUUACGAAUAUUUUCAGUAAUGUUAUUUUCUUCUAAGUGAAAUUUCUAGCCUGCACUUUGAUGUCAUGUGUUCCCUUUGUCUUUCAAACUCCAAGGUUCCCCUGUGGCCCUCUCCCUUACCCUGGGAAGGCCUCUUGGAGACCUUACCCCUGGCUGUUUGGACUUUGUAUACUUUAAAUAAUUUAACUACCCUUAAUUACUUAAAAAAAAAAAAAA
rnacentral:sRNA from 1 species